GCCCCGUUCGUCUAACGGACAGGAUAGCGGGCUUUCAAUCCGCAGACAGGGGUUCGAUUCCCCUACGGGGUGC
rnacentral:tRNA from 1 species